rnacentral:rRNA from 1 species
AUUGAACGCUGGCGGCAGGCCUAACACAUGCAAGUCGAGCGAGCGGCGGACGGGUGAGUAAUGUAUGGGGACUGCCCGAUAGAGGGGGAUAACUACUGGAAACGGUAGCUAAUACCGCAUACUAUCGGAUAACCCAUAUGGGAUUAGCUAGUAGGUGAGGAAAUGGCUCACCUUGGCGACGAUCCCUAGCUGGUCUGAGAGGAUGAUCAGCCACACUGGGACUGUGACACGGCCGAGACUCCUACGGAGGCAGCAGUGGGUACUAGUGCACAAUGGGCCCAAGCCUGAUGCAGCCAUGCCGCGUGUAUGAACAAGGGCGUAGUGUUGUAAAGUACUUUCCGUCGGGCGGCGUUACCGACAGACGAAGUACCGGCUAACUCCGUGCCAGCAGCCGCGGUAAUAC